AGUCGAACGGCAGCGCGGGGCAACCUGGCGGCGAGUGGCGAACGGGUGAGUAAUAUAUCGGAACGUACCCAAGAGUGGGGGAUAACGUAGCGAAAGUUACGCUAAUACCGCAUACGAUCUAUGGAUGAAAGUGGGGGAUUCGCAAGAACCUCAUGCUCCUGGAGCGGCCGAUAUCUGAUUAGCUAGUUGGUGAGGUAAAGGCUCACCAAGGCGACGAUCAGUAGCUGGUCUGAGAGGACGACCAGCCACACUGGAACUGAGACACGGUCCAGACUCCUACGGGAGGCAGCAGUGGGGAAUUUUGGACAAUGGGCGCAAGCCUGAUCCAGCAAUGCCGCGUGAGUGAAGAAGGCCUUCGGGUUGUAAAGCUCUUUUGUCAGGGAAGAAACGGCUGGGGAUAAUACCCUCGGCUAAUGACGGUACCUGAAGAAUAAGCACCGGCUAACUACGUGCCAGCAGCCGCGGUAAUACGUAGGGUGCAAGCGUUAAUCGGAGUUACUGGGCGUAAAGCGUGCGCAGGCGGUUUUGUAAGUCUGUCGUGAAAGCCCCGGGCUCAACCUGGGAAUUGCGAUGGAGGCUGCAAGGCUUGAAUCUGGCAGAGGGGGGUAGAAUUCCACGUGUAGCAGUGAAAUGCGUAGAGAUGUGGAGGAACACCGAUGGCGAAGGCAGCCCCCUGGGUCAAGAUUGACGCUCAUGCACGAAAGCGUGGGGAGCAAACAGGAUUAGAUACCCUGGUAGUCCACGCCCUAAACGAUGUCUACUAGUUGUCGGGUCUUAAUUGACUUGGUAACGCAGCUAACGCGUGAAGUAGACCGCCUGGGGAGUACGGUCGCAAGAUUAAAACUCAAAGGAAUUGAC
rnacentral:rRNA from 1 species